GCUGGCGGCGUGCCUAAUACAUGCAAGUCGAACGCUUCUUUCCUCCCGAGUGCUUGCACUCAAUUGGAAAGAGGAGUGGCGGACGGGUGAGUAACACGUGGGUAACCUACCCAUCAGAGGGGGAUAACACUUGGAAACAGGUGCUAAUACCGCAUAACAGUUUAUGCCGCAUGGCAUAAGAGUGAAAGGCGCUUUCGGGUGUCGCUGAUGGAUGGACCCGCGGUGCAUUAGCUAGUUGGUGAGGUAACGGCUCACCAAGGCCACGAUGCAUAGCCGACCUGAGAGGGUGAUCGGCCACACUGGGACUGAGACACGGCCCAGACUCCUACGGGAGGCAGCAGUAGGGAAUCUUCGGCAAUGGACGAAAGUCUGACCGAGCAACGCCGCGUGAGUGAAGAAGGUUUUCGGAUCGUAAAACUCUGUUGUUAGAGAAGAACAAGGACGUUAGUAACUGAACGUCCCCUGACGGUAUCUAACCAGAAAGCCACGGCUAACUACGUGCCAGCAGCCGCGGUAUACGUAGGUGGCAAGCGUUGUCCGGAUUUAUUGGGCGUAAAGCGAGCGCAGGCGGUUUCUUAAGUCUGAUGUGAAAGCCCCCGGCUCAACCGGGGAGGGUCAUUGGAAACUGGGAGACUUGAGUGCAGAAGAGGAGAGUGGAAUUCCAUGUGUAGCGGUGAAAUGCGUAGAUAUAUGGAGGAACACCAGUGGCGAAGGCGGCUUCUGGUCUGUAACUGACGCUGAGG
rnacentral:rRNA from 1 species